AACAACAGGAAAACAAGAAAAAGAAAGAAAGAAACAAAGUGUGUGCGUUUGCAUGCCUUCGGGUGAGCAUUUUCUUUCUUUCUUUUUUCCUGUUUUUCCCGUUUGUU
rnacentral:miRNA from 1 species